rnacentral:rRNA from 1 species
AGAGUUUGAUCCUGGCUCAGAUUGAACGCUGGCGGCAUGCCUUACACAUGCAAGUCGAACGGUAACGCGGGGGCAACCCUGGCGACGAGUGGCGAACGGGUGAGUAAUACAUCGGAACAUAUCCAGUAGCGGGAUAACCUAUCGAAAGAUGGACUAAUACCGCAUACGAUCUACGGAUGAAAGCAGGGGACCGCAAGGCCUUGCACUAUUGGAGUGGCCGAUGUCGGAUUAGCUAGUUGGUGAGGUAAAGGCUUACCAAGGCGACGAUCCGUAGCUGGUCUGAGAGGACGAUCAGCCACACUGGAACUGAGACACGGUCCAGACUCCUACGGGAGGCAGCAGUGGGGAAUUUUGGACAAUGGGCGCAAGCCUGAUCCAGCCAUGCCGCGUGAGUGAAGAAGGCCUUCGGGUUGUAAAGCUCUUUCGGUGAAGACGAAACGGUUAGCGCUAAUAACGCUGACUAAUGACGGUACUCACAGAAGAAGCACCGGCUAACUACGUGCCAGCAGCCGCGGUAAUACGUAGGGUGCAGGCGUUAAUCGGAAUUACUGGGCGUAAAGCGUGCGCAGGCGGUUUGCUAAGACAGGUGUGAAAUCCCCGAGCUUAACUUGGGAAUUGCGCUUGUAACUGGCAAGCUAGAGUGUGGCAGAGGGGGGUGGAAUUCCACGUGUAGCAGUGAAAUGCGUAGAUAUGUGGAGGAACACCGAUGGCGAAGGCAGCCCCCUGGGUUAACACUGACGCUCAUGCACGAAAGCGUGGGGAGCAAACAGGAUUAGAUACCCUGGUAGUCCACGCCCUAAACUAUGUCAACUAGUUGUCGGGGAAGAAAUUCCUUGGUAACGAAGCUAACGCGUGAAGUUGACCGCCUGGGGAGUACGGCCGCAAGGUUAAAACUCAAAGGAAUUGACGGGGACCCGCACAAGCGGUGGAUUAUGUGGAUUAAUUCGAUGCAACGCGAAAAACCUUACCUACCCUUGACAUGCUAGGAAGCCCGCAGAGAUGUGGGUGUGCCCGAAAGGGAACCUAGACACAGGUGCUGCAUGGCUGUCGUCAGCUCGUGUCGUGAGAUGUUGGGUUAAGUCCCGCAACGAGCGCAACCCUUGCCAUUAGUUGCUACAUUUAGUUGGGCACUCUAAUGGGACCGCCGGUGACAAACCGGAGGAAGGUGGGGAUGACGUCAAGUCCUCAUGGCCCUUAUGGGUAGGCUUCACACGUAAUACAAUGGUCGGUACAGAGGGCUGCCAACCCGCAAGGGGGAGCUAAUCCCAGAAAGCCGAUCGUAGUCCGGAUUGUAGUCUGCAACUCGACUGCAUGAAGCCGGAAUCGCUAGUAAUCGCGGAUCAGCAUGUCGCGGUGAAUACGUUCCCGGGUCUUGUACACACCGCCCGUCACACCAUGGGAGUGGGUUCCACCAGAAGUAGUUAGCCUAACCGCAAGGAGGGCGAUUACCACGGUGAGAUUCAUGACUGGGGUGAAGUCGUAACAAGGUA